rnacentral:ribozyme from 1 species
UUUUUUUUUUUUUUUUUUUUUUCUUUCUUUUUUUUUUGC